AACGCGAAGAACCUUACCAGGUCUUGACAUCCCGUUGACCACUGUAGAGAUAUGGUUUCCCCUUAGGGGGCAACGGUGACAGGUGGUGCAUGGUUGUCGUCAGCUCGUGUCGUGAGAUGUUGGGUUAAGUCCCGCAACGAGCGCAACCCUUGAUCUUAGUUGCCAUCAUUUAGUUGGGCACUCUAAGGUGACUGCCGGUGACAAACCGGAGGAAGGUGGGGAUGACGUCAAAUCAUCAUGCCCCUUAUGACCUGGGCUACACACGUGCUACAAUGGACGAUACAAACGGUUGCCAACUCGCGAGAGGGAGCUAAUCCGAUAAAGUCGUUCUCAGUUCGGAUUGUAGGCUGCAACUCGCCUACAUGAAGCCGGAAUCGCUAGUAAUCGCGGAUCAGCAUGCCGCGGUGAAUACGUUCCCGGGCCUUGUACACACCG
rnacentral:rRNA from 1 species